rnacentral:rRNA from 1 species
UAAUGUCUGGGAAACUGCCUGAUGGAGGGGGAUAACUACUGGAAACGGUAGCUAAUACCGCAUAACGUCGCAAGACCAAAGUGGGGGACCUUCGGGCCUCAUGCCAUCAGAUGUGCCCAGAUGGGAUUAGCUAGUAGGUGGAGUAACGGCUCACCUAGGCGACGAUCCCUAGCUGGUCUGAGAGGAUGACCAGCCACACUGGAACUGAGACACGGUCCAG